UACAGGGGGUGCAAACGUUGCUCGGAAUCAUUGGGCGUAAAGCGCACGUAGGCGGUCUGUUAUGUCGGAUGUGAAAGCCCUUGGCUUAACUGAGGAAGUGCAUCCGAAACUGGCAGGCUAGAGUACUAAAGAGGGUCGCGGAAUUCCCGGUGUAGAGGUGAAAUUCGUAGAUAUCGGGAGGAACACCGGUGGCGAAGGCGGCGACCUGGGUAGAUACUGACGCUGAGGUGCGAAAGCCAGGGGAGCAAGCGGG
rnacentral:rRNA from 1 species